rnacentral:rRNA from 1 species
GACGAACGCUGGCGGCGUGCUUAACACAUGCAAGUCGAACGGAAAGGCCCUGCUUUUGUGGGGUGCUCGAGUGGCGAACGGGUGAGUAACACGUGAGUAACCUGCUCUUGACUUUGGGAUAACUUCAGGAAACUGGGGCUAAUACCGGAUAGGAGCUCCUGCUGCAUGGGGGGGGUUGGAAAGUUUCGGCGGUUGGGGAUGGACUCGCGGCUUAUCAGCUUGUUGGUGGGGUAGUGGCUUACCCAGGCUUUGACGGGUAGCCGGCCUGGGAGGGUGACCGGCCACAUUGGGACUGAGAUACGGCCCAGACUCCUACGGGAGGCAGCAGUGGGGAAUAUUGCACAGUGGGCGGAAGCCUGAUGCAGCAACGCCGCGUGCGGGAUGACGGCCUUCGGGUUGUAAACCGCUUUCGCCUGUGACGAAGCGUGAGUGACGGUAAUGGGUAAAGAAGCACCGGCUAACUACGUG